GCAUGGAUUUGGAUUUAUGACAGGCCCGUACCCCUGGUCCUGUCAUAGUGUCCCAUGCCAAACUGUGAGCAAACUAUGGCCCUGAACCAGUUCCUGGCCUCUCCCUAUAGGCUCCUGGCACUGCAGUGAGUUGCAUAUUG
rnacentral:snoRNA from 1 species